GCAGGUGCAUCCACCAACCUUCCAUCGUCUGCCCCAGGCCAUGGCGAAGCUGAUGGUGCUCACCAUCCUGGGACUGGGGCUGGCAUUCUUCAGGGAUCACCGGUCUUCUUAUCUAAAGAGAAUGAAUGCUUCCCGAGAAGUAAAAUCCAUAGAACUUCCUAACUGUAAAUUUGUAAAAGGAAUAGAAACUGGCUCUGAAGACAUAGAGAUACUUCAUAAUGGACUGGCUUUCAUUAGCACCGGAUUACAAUAUCCUGGAAUAAAGAGCUUUGCAUCUGGUAAGCCUGGAAAAAUACUUCUGAUGGACAUGAACGAAGAGGAUCCUAGAAUUGUGGAAUUGAAGAUCACUGGAAGUAACUUUGAUCUAUCUUCAUUUAACCCUCAUGGGAUCAGCACAUUCACAGAUGAAGAUAAUACCGUGUACCUGCUGGUGGUGAGCCAUCCAGAUUUUAAGUCCACGGUUGAGUUGUUUAAAUUUCAAGAAGAAGAAAAGUCACUUUUGCAUCUGAAAACUAUCAAACACGAACUUCUGCCUAGUUUGAAUGACAUUGUCGCUGUGGGACCUGAACACUUCUAUGCCACCAACGAUCACUAUUUUGUUAACACCUACCUGAGAUCCUGGGAGGUAUAUUUGGGUCUGGCGUGGUCACAGGCUGUUUACUACAGUCCAAAUGAAGUUCGAGUGGUGGCCAGAGGGUUUGAUUUUGCUAAUGGAAUCAACAUCUCACCUGACGGCAAGUAUGUCUAUAUAGCUGAACUUCUGGCUCAUAAGAUUCAUGUGUAUGAAAAACACGCUAAUUGGACUUUAACUCCAUUGAAGGCUUUCAUCUGCCGUGGAAUUCACCAGUUGGCCAUGACCCCUUCCGAAGAUAACAGCAGAACCCUGAGACAAACGUUUUCCUCACAUAAAGAAUUUAACAUGUCAGCCUAGAAUGUCUGACACUGGGAUAGGUGGGGUUUGGGGACGGAGAAGACUUGGAGCUGAUUUUGGCCAGAGGAUGUUUGCUCAGCCACCUCCUUUGGCCAAACUUGCGGUUUCCAGGGCAGGAAGGAGUCACGAUGCUGCGUGAAGGUGAAAAGGAAGCUCUGCCUUGCUGCUGGAGCCCUCUCGUCCCUUCAUGGCCAUGUGGGGAGAGCUCUCAUUUUGAGUAGGAAGCACAAGGCAGCGUUGGCUCACUGCAGCUGUCCGCUCACGCUGUGGCCUUUGCAAUGAGUCACCGCCAAUUAUUCCAGGGUCUCUGGGCGCUGAGGUAUGCUGGCCUCUGUUUGAGGUACACGGUAGAUAUUGUUUCUCCAACUGAGAGUUAGAGGUAAACAAAUAGAUGCGAUUGCUCCCCGGUAGAAGGCAGCCAAGAUGAUGAAUGAUGGAAUUAAGAAUCGUUGGUAUUAUUUAUGAGCCUGGCACAAAGCCGCGACAGCAAUCUGUGCAGUCGUCACAUGCUUGCAACUUCUAUUUAGAAAAUAACCAGCAGAAGAACAGGGAGCUGAAUAACCUCAGGAAGCUGAAGAAGAAACUUUUCCUCAACUCCAAGGCACAUAUUAGACCCCAGCCUCUGGACUUUAACACACUCGUGGAUAACAUAUCCGUGGAUCCUGU